UACGUAGGGACCAAGCGUUGUUCGGAUUUACUGGGCGUAAAGGGCGCGUAGGCGGCAAUUCAAGUCAUCUGUGAAAUCUCCGGGCUUAACUCGGAACGGUCAGGUGAUACUGUUUUGCUAGAGUGCGGAAGGGGCAAUCGGAAUUCUUGGUGUAGCGGUGAAAUGCGUAGAUACCAAGAGGAACACCUGAGGUGAAGACGGGUUGCUGGGCCGACACUGACGCUGAUGAGCGAAAGCCAGGGGAGCAAACGGG
rnacentral:rRNA from 1 species